rnacentral:rRNA from 1 species
UGAAUACGAGACGCUAAGGCGUCGAAGUAGUGUAUGUCAUACUUCCAAGAAAAGCUUGCACUGUCAUAGAUAAAAAACGCCUGUACCAUAACCGACACAGGUGGGUAGGUAGAGUAUACUAAGGGGCGCGAGAUAACUCUCUCUAAGGAACUCGGCAAAAUAACUCCGUAACUUCGGGAGAAGGAGUGCCUUAUUCUUAAGGUUGCAAUAACAAGAUCCAAGCAACUGUUUAUCAAAAACACAGGUCUCCGCUAAGUCGUAAGACGAUGUAUGGGGGCUGACGCCUGCCCAGUGCCAGAAGGUUAAAGAAGCUGGUUAGCAUUUGCGAAGCUAGUAACUGAAGCCCUGGUGAACGGCGGCUGUAACUAUAACGGUCCUAAGGUAGCGAAAUUCCUUGUCGGGUAAGUUCCGACCCGCACGAAAGGCGUAAUGAUUUGGAUACUGUCUCGGAGAGGGGCUCGGUGAAAUAGACUUGUCUGUGAAGAUGCGGACUACCUGCACCAGGACAGAAAGACCCUAUGAAGCUUUACUGUAACUUGAAAUUGAAAUUGGACUUUAUUCGCGCAGUAUAGGUGGGAGGCGUUGAUUAUAAUCUUGCGGGAUUAUUGGAGCCAUUAGUGAGAUACCACUCUUGUAAUGUUAGAUUUCUAACUUUGAAUCAUUAUCUGGUCAAAGAACAGUUUCAGGCGGGCAGUUUGACUGGGGCGGUCGCCUCCCAAACGGUAACGGAGGCGUACAAAGGUUUCCUCUGAACGGUUAGAAAUCGUAUCUAGAGUGUAAAGGCGUAAGGAAGCUUGACUGUGAGACCUACAAGUCGAGCAGGGACGAAAGUCGGUCUUAGUGAUCUGACGGUACUGAGUGGAAAGGCCGUCACUCAACGGAUAAAAGUUACUCUAGGAUAACAGACUGAUCUCCCCCAAGAGUUCACAUCGACGGGGAGGUUUGGCACCUCGAUGUCGGCUCAUCGCAUCCUGGGGCGGUAGUACGUCCCAAGGGUUGGGCUGUUCGCCCAUGAAAGCGGUACGCGAGCUGGGUUCAGAACGUCGUGAGACAGUUCGGUCCAUAUCCGGUGUAGGCGUUAGAAUACUGAGAGGAGCCUUCUUUAGUACGAGAGGACCGAGAAGGACAUACCUAUGGUGUACCAGUUAUCGUGCCAACGGUAGACGCUGGGUAGCUAUGUAUGGAGUGGAUAACCGCUGAAAGCAUCUAAGUGGGAAGCCCACCUCAAGAUAAGUAUUCUCAC